CUUCGCUGCUCCCGACGCGAAUGAUGUACGUCACCACUCGCUCUCUGGCGAGCUCUCUGCACUACUUCACCGCUUUUUUCCGCAAGGGUGGAUAACAGCCCAGGAAGAGGCGAACAUCAUUGUAAGUUGGGGCAUGUACAGAGCUGCAGUGUUACAACGUUUCGACUCGUGCCAGGACAGUGAAGACAUGACCCUCACCGUUAGAUUCAACAUGGUCCCUUCAAGUGGUGUGCCUGAAGAUGACUCUGAGGAGUUAUUGUUUUCUCACUCUUCUGGAGACAUCAGCAAUGUCAGCAAACAUCUCAUAAGAUGGACAUAUCAUGUGUGACAUGUACCACACACUUUGUUUUGCCAGUUUUUUGUCCUACACAGUAAUUAUAUCUAUGCAAUUAAGCUUAAUACCAUAGUUUAGCCAUUGAAACAUCAGGUAAGAUUUUUACAAUUCAUUGUGUGUGGUGAUAAAAUAUAAAAUCACACUCACAGCCCAUACAAGUUAUGAUAGUUAAGUUAUGAACACUAAUGCAGGUAAAUGACUGUCACCUUUCACAGUGGGAAUAAAGUAAGCUUGUACUCUG